ACCUCGGAUCAGGUAGGGAUACCCGCUGAACUUAAGCAUAUCAAUAAGCGGAGGAAAAGAAACCAACAGGGAUUACCUCAGUAACGGCGAGUGAAGCGGUAACAGCUCAAAUUUGAAAGCUGGCUCUUUUAGGGUCCGCGUUGUAAUUUGUAGAAGAUGCUUCGGGUGUGGCCCCGGUCUAAGUUCCUUGGAACAGGACGUCAUAGAGGGUGAGAAUCCCGUAUGUGACUGGGUGCUUUCGCUCAUGUGAAGCUCUUUCGACGAGUCGAGUUGUUUGGGAAUGCAGCUCAAAAUGGGUGGUAAAUUUCAUCUAAAGCUAAAUAUUGGCCAGAGACCGAUAGCGCACAAGUAGAGUGAUCGAAAGAUGAAAAGCACUUUGGAAAGAGAGUUAAACAGUACGUGAAAUUGUUGAAAGGGAAGCGCUUGCAACCAGACUUGCGCGCUGAUGAUCAUCCGGGCUUCUGCCCGGUGCACUCGUCUGCGCUCAGGCCAGCAUCGGUUUCGGUGGUGGGAUAAAGGCCUUGGGAAUGUGGCUCCUCUCGGG
rnacentral:rRNA from 1 species